CAUGAAUGACCUUCUGUUAAGAUCCGAGCACGUCCUGUGCGUAACACAGAAGUCCGCACUUCCUGUGCA
rnacentral:sRNA from 1 species